rnacentral:rRNA from 1 species
AGAGUUUGAUCCUGGCUCAGAUUGAACGCUGGCGGCAUGCCUUACACAUGCAAGUCGAACGGCAGCACGGGAGCAAUCCUGGUGGCGAGUGGCGAACGGGUGAGUAAUAUAUCGGAACGUGCCCAGUCGUGGGGGAUAACGCAGCGAAAGUUGCGCUAAUACCGCAUACGAUCUAUGGAUGAAAGCGGGGGAUCGCAAGACCUCGCGCGAUUGGAGCGGCCGAUAUCAGAUUAGCUUGUUGGUGAGGUAAAAGCUCACCAAGGCGACGAUCUGUAGCUGGUCUGAGAGGACGACCAGCCACACUGGGACUGAGACACGGCCCAGACUCCUACGGGAGGCAGCAGUGGGGAAUUUUGGACAAUGGGCGCAAGCCUGAUCCAGCAAUGCCGCGUGCAGGAUGAAGGCCUUCGGGUUGUAAACUGCUUUUGUACGGAACGAAACGGCCCUCUC